UUGACAAAUGGAGCUAUUGGCUUUGAAUUGUAUUGUGGAAAUGUAUUACCAACAGAGGUGCAGGUGCCAGCCUAUUGAAAUAAAGCGUCAAUGAGGGUGAGAAUCCUGUUUGUCAUGUGCAGCCCUUUGUGCACGGUGUAUAUUUGCUGAGUCACACUCCUUGGCAUUGGAAUGCAAAGUGGGUGGUAAGUUUCAUGUAAAGGUAAACAUGCAAUUGAGACUGAUAGCACACAAGUACCAUGAGGGAAAUAUGAAAAGGACUUUGAAAAGAGAAUUAAAUGAGUUUGUAUUUGCUGAACACAAAGUAAACAGACUUGAUUUGCUUGGUGGGAGUGUUGCACUUGCUUGACAAGAGCUUUGGGCUGUGGGUGUAAUGAUUCUUUCUUUGCAUGCCAGUUUCUAUUUGUACAUCUGAUUACCUUUGCACAUGAAUGAUAAGUCUCCUGUGGGGGGUGGAUUGCAUGUGCAUGUAAUGAUUUGUGUUUUGAUAAAUGUGUCUGGUGUAUGUGUGUGUUCCUGUGCUUGGGGAUGCUUCCUUCCUUGGACUUACAAGCCCUGACACACACAUGCUGGCAAAAUGCUUCUGCUUGACCCGUCUUGAAAACASGGUACCAAGGAGUCUAACAGAUGUGCAAAGUUUGAAGGUGGUAUACCUUUGUGUGCAAUGAAAGUGUCAGCUGGGAUAUGUGCACCAGCACCCAAUUAAUUAGCGGACAGAGGUUUGAGUUGGAGCAUAUCUAUUAGGACCCGAAAGAUGGUGAACUAUGCCUGAACAGAAUGAAUUCAGAGGAAACUCUGAUGGAGGUUCGUAUCGAUACUGACGUGCAAAUCGUUCGUCAUAUUUGGGUAUAGGGGCGAAAGACUAAUCGAACCAUCUAGUAGCUGGUUCCCUCCGAAGUUUCCCUCAGGAUAGCUGGAGUUGCUCAGUUUUAUCAGGUAAAGCGAAUGAUUAGAGGAAUUGGGGACAGGUUUGUCUUUGACCUAUUCUCAAACUUUAAAUGGGUAAUAUGUAGUGGUUGCUGUAUGGAACUUCUAAGAUAAAUGGCAAUAUUGGGUGGGCCAUUUUUGGUAAGCAGAACUGGCGAUGAGGGAUGAACCUAAUGUGGGGCUAAGGUGCUUAAUUACUUGCUCAUUUGAUACCAGAAAGGGUGUUGGUUCAUUUUAAC
rnacentral:rRNA from 1 species